rnacentral:rRNA from 1 species
GCUUACUGCCAUACCACCCUGAGCACACCCAAACUCAUCUGAGCUCUGCUGCUAAGCAGAGCCAGCCCUGGUUAGUACUUGGAUGGGGACUGUCUGUGAAGGCCAGGUGCUGUAAGCU